UACGUAGGGCGCAAGCGUUAUCCGGAAUUAUUGGACGUAAAGAGCUCGUAGCGGUUUGUCGCGUCUGCCGUGAAAGUCCGGGGCUCAACUCCGGAUCUGCGGUGGGUACGGGCAGACUAGAGUGAUGUAGGGGAGACUGGAAUUCCUGGUGUAGCGGUGAAAUGCGCAGAUAUCAGGAGGAACACCGAUGGCGAAGGCAGGUCUCUGGGCAUUAACUGACGCUGAGGAGCGAAAGCAUGGGGAGCGAACAGG
rnacentral:rRNA from 1 species